rnacentral:rRNA from 1 species
AGUCGAGGGGCAGCGAGGGAGUGGCAACACUUCUGUCGGCGACCGGCGCACGGGUGAGUAACGCGUAUGCAACCUGCCCUUCACAGGGGGAUAACCGGGAGAAAUUCCGACUAAUACCGCAUACGUCCUCCGGGGGCAUCCUUGGGGGAUGAAAGAGUUAUCGGUGAAGGAUGGGCAUGCGUGAUAUUAGGUAGUUGGCGGGGCAACGGCCCACCAAGCCCACGAUAUCUAGGGGUUCUGAGAGGAAGGUCCCCCACAUUGGUACUGAGACACGGACCAAACUCCUACGGGAGGCAGCAGUGAGGAAUAUUGGUCAAUGGACGAGAGUCUGAACCAGCCAAGUCGCGUGAAGGAAGACGGGUCUAUGGUUUGUAAACUUCUUUAGUGCGGGAACAAAGCGGCGUCGAGACGCCUGAUGAGUGUACCGCAAGAAUAAGCAUCGGCUAACUCCGUGCCAGCAGCCGCGGUAAUACGGAGGAUGCGAGCGUUAUCCGGAUUUAUUGGGUUUAAAGGGAGCGCAGGCUGCGAGGCAAGUCAGCGGUCAAAUGUCGGGGCUCAACCCCGGCCUGCCGUUGAAACUGUCCUGCUAGAGUUCGAGUGAGGUAUGCGGAAUGCGUUGUGUAGCGGUGAAAUGCAUAGAUAUGACGCAGAACUCCGAUUGCGAAGGCAGCAUACCAACUCGCGACUGACGCUGAGGGC